UCCCCGUUGCCGAGGCAGUCUCGCUAGAAAUUGCAACUAGCGACAAGGGUUGCGCUCGUUAAAGGACUUAACCUGACAUCUCACGACACGAGCUGACGACGGCCAUGCAUCACCUGUCACCGAUCCAGCCGAACUGACCAUCUGGUUUCCCAGACGUACGAUCGGGAUGUCAAGCCUUGGUAAGGUUCUUCGCGUAUCCUCGAAUUAAACCACACGCUCCACCGCUUGUGCGGGUCCCCGUCAAUUCCUUUGAGUUUUAGCCUUGCGGCCGUACUCCCCAGGCGGGAUGCUUAACGCGUUAGCUUCGCUACCGAGGGGGUCGAUACCCCCGACAGCUAGCAUCCAUAGUUUACGGCGUGGACUAC
rnacentral:misc_RNA from 1 species